rnacentral:rRNA from 1 species
CAAUAGCGUAUAUUGAAGUUGUUGCGGUUAAAAAGCUCGUCGUUGGAUUUCUGUUGAGGUCGAACAGUGCCGCCCUAUGGGUGCGCAACUGGCUCGGCUUCGGCAUCUUCUUGGAGAGCGCAUCUGCACUUAACUGUGUGGAUCGUACUUCAAGUCAGUUACUUUGAGGAAUUGUGAAUGUUUCAAGCAGGCUUACGCUUGAAUACUUCAGCAUGGAAUAAUAGAAUAGGACUUUGGUUCUAUUUUGUUGGUUUCUAGGACCGAAGUAAUGAUUAAUAGGGAUAGUUGGGGGCAUUAGUAUUUAAUUGUCAGAGGUGAAAUUCUUGGAUUUAUGAAAGACUAACUUCUGCGAAAGCAUUUGCCAAGGAUGUUUNCAUUA